GUCUCAGGCCGUAUCAGCCUCGAAGGCGCCCGAUCUCGUCUGAUCUCGGAAGCUAAGCAGGGUCGGGCCUGGUUAGGAUCUUGGAUGGGGACCACCUGGGAAUCCCGGGUGCUCGAGGCU
rnacentral:rRNA from 1 species